GAAGGCAGAAGGCAGACGCUUAACGACUGAGCCACCCAGGCGCCCCUACACGAGGAACUCUUAACUACUCACUGAGGAAAAGAUCAAAACAAUUCUUUUUUAAUGGACAAAAGACUUGAACACGUGCUUCACAGAAAAGGAAAUUCACAGGGGAAAGGAACACAAGCAAAGCUGCAGAUCUCAUUAGCACCUAAGGAAAUGCAAAUAGCAGUCACUAGGCUCUCAAAAACCGUGACAAUCUGACAAAGCCAAGUGUUUGUGAGGACGGGGAGGCGUCCUGUCCCUUCCGCAGGCUGCCUGCACUGCGGAAGAUCAGGAGCCUGGCAGGGGUGCACAGCGUGGACACAGCAGAUCCCCCUCGGGGCGAUUUCGGUAAGUAAGCGUUUGCGCCCCGUGUGCCACCAGAAGAGGAUUUGUUGUGUGUGAGUGGCAGCGCUGUUUCCAAGCGUGGGGCGCGCGCCACGGAUCAGCACGAGAGCCUAGCACGGAUGAGCUCGGCGGCGCAGGUCCACUCGCAGCCCAGCCAGCCGAGGAGUCCCCAGGAAGUUGUUGUUAGUCCAGGGUCUCUGAGAAGCAGACACCACAACAGGAUGAAAAGUGCAUGGACUUUAUUGAAGGAAAUGCCCACGAGACAUGAUGGGGAAGGGGCGUUAUUGGUGACACAGGGGUGUGACCUCAUGCCAAGGCUGGGCUUGGCCGGAAGCAACCCAGGCCCCGUGUAGUCCAAGAAGGUCCAGAAGCCUGUUACGGAGUCCUCAAGUCAGAGCUGGCCAUCAGAAGGGCACUCCUGGGAUGGGCCUGCCUCGAUGUCCCUGCUGGCCCCAGCAUGCACAUGUCGAUGGAUUGCAACUGGACCCCGGGCUGUGGUUCAGGUCCACGAGGCAUCCCACGCCCCACCAUGUGUGUCUGUGUAUUGACUGUCUCCCCACAAAACGAACCUUCCAAGAGCAGAUGUCCCACCUGUGCCCACCUGUGCCCCGAGCCCUGAGCUGAGUGGCCCGUGGACACUUCACUGACGUGUGCACGGAGCCAACAGGGGCCCCAAGGCCUCCCAUUCUGCAGGCAGCGCCUCUGCCACUCGGCCCUCCUCCAUCAGGACGCAGAGUCUCUUCCUGGACCCCUGCAGGAAGCUAGGCCAUGCGGCCCCUUCAGCCAGCAGCAGCAGUGCCUGGGAGGCCCUCGAAGCCGAGCCGCACCUCCCCCUCCCCAUGGGGGACACCGGCCAGACCAGCCCCAUCCCGCUGGUGACGUGCAGCCCAGCACAGCUGUGGGAGGGAGGCUAUGCGGAGCCCUCAGCUCCAGCCGGGCCAGCAGCCAGCCGCAGAGACCAGCAGGCCACCUCUGACCACAGAGGCCGCCCACUCAGUCCAGGCUCCAAGCAGGAUGAGAUUGUUGGUGGUUCAAGCUGCUAGUUUUGAGGGGCUCCCUGUGGCCGAAGCUAACGGCAGAGCCUCCUGUUCUUCCUCGGGGUUUCCACUUCCCCGCAAUGUGAGACCCGGUCCCUCGGGAGGCAUGGACGCCGCACCGAUCCCCACCUCCCCACCUUGAGCACCAGGCUUCAAGCUCCACACACAGUGUGAAUUCAGUGGGUCAAGUUUGCUGAGGAUGAGGAACCCCACGUUGUAACCAUAAACACCGCCAUUUGUCACCUGGCUUUCCAGACUGGGGAACAGACGGCACGUAUUUCCCAGAUCUGGCCACUGGGAGCCCCGUGGCCGGCUGCUCGUGUCGGGGGACGCAUGCCCAUCCGUCUCUGGGGCUUCCUGCACUGCCCUGCCCCCCGGAUGCUGCGGGCCCCUCCUGACCCGGGCCUGGCGCGAGCAUUCCCUGGGUGCCCUGGCCUGGCCCGUAGGGCUCGGCUUCGGACUGGGCAGCGAGCUCCACGCUCUUGGGCUGCAAUGCUCCCGGCUCCUUUCCGGGCUCGGAGCCACAGAAUGGAUUGCUUCCUGGGGAUGGUGAGUUCUUCUGCAGCUUCGUGUUCAGACACAAGCCCCCCUGUUCUUCUCCUCCCCUGCUCUGUGCUCAGGGCUGCUCUCCCACCACCCAUGGAGAGGGCCCUGGUCCCCAAGGACACGCGCUGGCUUCUCCUGCCGUCAACCCCGAAUACACACAGGGUGGUUCCUCACUCGUCACUCAGCCCUGCAACCUUCAGCAGCAACCAGCCCGCAAAGGGAGGCCCGAGGUCACUCCGCACUUAGAGAACCGUGCCCAGAAAAGCCACGAACACCUUCCGCCCUGUUGUGCCAUCAAAGUAUUGAGGUUCACUGGUGCUGUUGGAUUCCAUUUUAGAGUUUUUCACCCUUGCCGAUUUAAUUUUAUUUUCUGAAUAUGAGAAUCAUACACAUAGUUCAAAAGUCAAAACAGUGGGAGCCUGGGUGGCUCAGUUGGUUAAGCGACUGCCUUCGGCUCAGGUCAUGAUCCUAGAGUCCCAGGAUCGAGUCCCGCAUCGGGCUUCCUGCUCGGCGGGGAGUCUGCUUCUCCCUCUGACCCUCCCCCUGUCUCAUGUGCUCUCUCUCAUUCUCUCUCUCUCAAAUAAAUAAAUAAAAUCUUUUAAAAAAAAAAAAGUCAAAACAGUAUUAAAAAGCAACCCACAGAAUUCUCCUUUCACCUGCUCCCAGGGGACCCUACCAGUUCCUGCUUUGAGGCUCUAUCAGCCCUGGGGAGGGGACAUGCAAACCACAACAUGCAAACAAUGUGCAAACCCCAACAUGCAAACCACAUGCAAAAGAGGCAAACAGAGGAAUAGCUGGGUUCCUCAGGAGCGCCGGGAGCUGCAAACCCAGAACACAAGCCCCCAGGGCCACCAACACUUGCAGCACCUGUGGCCCAAGGGUCUUGUCAAAAUGAAAACAAUCCAGUUUCACGGCUGGGAGGAGCUUGAGGAGCAGCGGCUAGAGGUGUGUGUCCUGGAUGGGGUCCUGGGCAGAAAGGACAACAGGAAAAAACAAAGGAAAUCUAUAAAAACUAUGGGCUUCUGUUAAUAAUAAUGCAUCAAGGGGCGCCUGGGUGGCUCAGUCAUUAAACGUCUGCCUUCGGCUCGGGUCGUGAUCCCGGGGUCCUGGGAUCGAGCCCCACAUCGGGCUCCCUGCUCAGCGGGAAGCCUGCUUCUCCCUCUCCCACUCCCCCUGCUUGUGUUCCCUCUCUCGCUGUGUCUCUCUCUGUCAAAUAAAUAAAUAAAAUCUUUAUAAAUAAUAAUAAUAAUGCAUCAAUAUUGGUCCUCAAUUGUGAGAAAUAUACUGUCCUAACAAAAGGCAAUAAUAGGGAAACUGGCAUAUGGCAAAUCUCGGCACUAUCUUCCUGGUUUUUAUGUAAAUCUAAAAUUGUUCUAAAAAAUAAAGUUUAUUUUUUU